rnacentral:rRNA from 1 species
AGUAAACGCUGGCGGCGUGCUUAACACAUGCAAGUCGAGCGAGAAAGUCCUUCGGGAUGAGUACAGCGGCGGACGGGUGAGUAACGCGUGGGAAUCUGCCCUUUAGUGAAGAAUACCCUCGAGAAAUCGGGGUUAAUACUGCAUACGUUUCUUCGGAAAGAAAGCUGGCCUCUUUGCUGGCGCUAAAGGAUGAGCCUACGUACUAUUAGCUAGUUGGUGAGGUAAUGGCUCACCAAGGCGAUGAUGGUUAGCCGGCCUGAGAGGGUGUACGGCCACACUGGAACUUAGACACGGUCCAGACUCCUACGGGAGGCAGCAGUGGGGAAUCUUGCGCAAUGGGCGAAAGCCUGACGCAGCGACGCCGCGUGAAGGAUGAAGGUCUUCGGAUUGUAAACUUCUGUUAAGUGGGAGGAAAUACUCAUUCCUAAUACGAAUGGGGGAUGACUGUACCAUUAGAGAAAGCACCGGCUAAACUCGUG